GGUGAAGAGACAGAAGCAGUGCAAGUAUGAAGGUGUACAUCUGCAGGAAUGCCCCUGUACAUGCCGCUACAAUGAGUGAACAGAGAAGAGUACAGGAGAGGAAAAGAAAAGCCAGGAGAGCAGGAGUAUUCUGAGGAAGCAACUUCUAAACUGACUGCAGAAGAGGUUGGCCUGGUUAUGACACCUGUAUUUGCAAGAGUAAUAAUACUACUGGGCUUCCUAGGUGGCUCAGACAGUAAAGAAUCUGCCUGCAAUGUGG